rnacentral:rRNA from 2 species
UUAAGCAUAUCAAUAAGCGGAGGAAAAGAAACUAACAAGGAUUCCCCUAGUAACUGCGAGUGAAGAGGGAAAAGCUCAAAUUUAAAAUCUGGCAGUUAUUYGCUGUCCGAGUUGUAAAUUGGAGAAGUGUUAUCCGCGCUGGCCUGUGCAUAAGUCUCUUGGAAAAGAGCAUCAUAGAGGGUGACAAUCCCGUCUUUGGCACAGACUACCAGGGCUUUUGUGAUGCGCUCUCAACGAGUCGAGUUGUUUGGGAAUGCAGCUCCAAAUGGGUGGUAAAUUCCAUCUAAAGCUAAAUAUUGGCGAGAGACCGAUAGCGCACAAGUACCGUGAGGGAAAGAUGAAAAGAACUUUGGAAAGAGAGUUAAACAGUACGUGAAAUUGUUGAAAGGGAAACGCUUGAAGUCAGUCAUGUCUCACUGAAAUCAACCUGGCACUUGUCUGGUGUACUUUCUGUGGGACAGGUCAGCAUCAGUUCUGAUUGCUGGAAAAAGGCCUUGGGAAUGUGACAUCUUUUCGAAGAUGUGUUAUAGCCCUUGGAUCACAUACAGUGGUUGGGACUGAGGAACUCGAUGUGUGGUGUGCUCUGGGGUUUCGGUCCUGGAGUCAUGCAUUCAAGGAUGCUGGCAUAAUGGCUUUAAUCGACCCGUCUUGAAACACGGACCAAGGAGUCUAACAUGCAUGCGAGUGU